GCAGUGGGGAAUUUUGGACAAUGGGCGCAAGCCUGAUCCAGCCAUGCCGCGUGCAGGAUGAAGGCCUUCGGGUUGUAAACUGCUUUUGUACGGAACGAAAAGACUCGUUUUAAUACGAUGGGUCCAUGACGGUACCGUAAGAAUAAGCACCGGCUAACUACGUGCCAGCAGCCGCGGUAAUACGUAGGGUGCAAGCGUUAAUCGGAAUUACUGGGCGUAAAGCGUGCGCAGGCGGUAAUGUAAGACAGAUGUGAAAUCCCCGGGCUCAACCUGGGAACUGCAUUUGUGACUGCAUUGCUGGAGUGCGGCAGAGGGGGAUGGAAUUCCGCGUGUAGCAGUGAAAUGCGUAGAUAUGCGGAGGAACACCGAUGGCGAAGGCAAUCCCCUGGGCCUGCACUGACGCUCAUGCACGAAAGCGUGGGGAGCAAACAGGAUUAGA
rnacentral:rRNA from 1 species